GCGCGUUCGUACCCGGUCCGGGUCGGCUGGGCUGCCCGCCGCUCCGCGCGCCCGGGCGGUCGCAGGUCGCGCCUGCUUUGGCCCCGGCGGGUUCGGCAUCCGAGCCUGGCAGGGGCCAAUAGAAAGUUUCCUACACUACUGAGGUUUAGGGGCACUGUGAAGCAAAAGCCACGCCUCAGAAUCCCAGGCGGAGACUCCGACCUCGUCCCGGGAGGGAAGCCAGUAGCUGAGCACCUGCGGGAGAUUAAAGAGAGGAAUAAGGAGGUGAGUACAUGACAAAGAGCCACAGUCGCAGGCGGUGGGGCCUGGCUCAGAACAGGCUGUGCUGGGAAGCGGGAGCAGGAGCUGGCGCCGCCUUGCGGGCUGGCAGAGGACCAUCCACUCCCUGGCGCUGGGGCCGUCCCAUCUCAUGGGCAAGAAACGUGAGACCCCUGGCUCGCUCCACACACAACCUAAGUGCCAGAUGGAUGAGACGCCUACGCGUGAGUAAAUGCCAGGAACAUGAGACUCGAACGUGGCAGGAUAUCCUUCUGCCCACGAAUCUAAAAGCUUACUCGGUAAUGGGAGAAUGGUUCCAAUUUGAUAAACUCGGGUUUUUGGAACGUCUGUGCUCCAGAAACACUGGAAGGCAAGUGGCUGCUGACUGGAGGAGAUAAUUGGAUGCUGCAAGCGGCAAAGGGCUCGGGAUGCAAAACACCGCAAGAAAUGCAACAAGUGAGGAGCAUUCCCGCAAAGAAAAAACGCACAGGCCGAGAGCAGUGGCUCACGCCUGUAAUCCCAGCAGUUUGGGAGGCCGAGGCAGGUGCAUCGCUUGAGGACAGGAGUUCGAGACUAGGCUGGCCAACAUGGUGAAACCCCAUCUCUACUAAAAAUACAAAAAAAAAAAAAAAAUUAACCGGCUGUGGUGGCGAGUUCCUGUGGUCCCAGCUACUCGGGAGGCUGAGGCAGGAGAAUCGCUUGAACCUGGGAGACAGAGGUUGCAGUGAGCCAAGAUCGUGUCACUGCACUCCAGCCUGGGCAACAGAGUGAGACUCUGUCAAAAAAGAAAAAAAAAAUUGCACAAAUGGCACAAAGAGGAAAAAUCAAAUGGUGAGACCCAAAUAGCCAGGAGCUUUCUUUCUUUUUUUUUUUUUUUCUCCUUUCCUUUUUUCCAUCCUUUUAUCAGCCAUAAAAAGGAAGGGAAGGUUGGGCUGGGCACAGUGGCUCAUGCCUGUAAUCCCAACGCUUUGGGAGGCCAAGGUGAGUGGAUCACCAGAGGUCAGGAGUUCGAGUCAACCUGGCCAACAUGGUGAAACCCCAUCUCUACUAAAAAAUACAAAACUAGCCGGACGUGGUGGCGUGCGCCUGUAAUCCCAGCACUUUGGGAGGCUGAGACAGGAGAAUCCCUUGAACCCAGGAGGCAGAGGUUGCAGUGAGCCAAGAUUGCGCCACGGCACUCCAGCCUGGGCGACAGAGCGAGACUCCGUCUCAAAAAAUAAAAUAAAAAGGAAGGGAAGUUGAAUAGACUACAGCAUGGGUGGACCCUGAGUGAAAUAGGCCAAUUGAAAGGACAGAUGUUACACGAUACCAUUUAUCUGCAAUGCUAGAUUUGGGAGAGCCAUUGAGGCAGAAGAUAGGUGGUGGGUGCCCGGGGUUAAGGGGAGGGGACGGGGAGUCCAUGUGUAAUGGGGACAGAGUCUCUGGAGGGAUGACGCAUUCUGGAGGUGGACGGUGGUAAUGGAUACGCAUGAUGCUGCUGAACUGUGCACUUCAAAAUGGUUAAGACAGUAGAUUUUGUGUUUAUACAAUAAACCCAGAAAAGAUGUAUGCUGCACCACAAACCCA
rnacentral:lncRNA from 1 species